AGUGAACGCUGGCGGUAGGCCUAACACAUGCAAGUCGAACGGCAGCACAGUAAGAGCUUGCUCUUACGGGUGGCGAGUGGCGGACGGGUGAGGAAUACAUCGGAAUCUACUUUUUCGUGGGGGAUAACGUAGGGAAACUUACGCUAAUACAGCAUACGACCUACGGGUGAAAGCAGUGGAUAUUCGGGGCUUGCGCGGUUGAAUGAGCGGCUGCCGGAUUAGCUGGUUGGCGGGGUAAAGGCCCACCAAGGCGACGAUCCGUAGCUGGUGUGGGAGGAGGGUAAGCCACACUGGAACUGAGACACGGACCAGACUCCUACGGGAGGCAGCAGUGGGGAAUGUUGGACAAUGGGCGCAAGCCUGAUCCAGCGAUACCGCGUGUGUGAAGAAGGCCUUCGGGUUGUAAAGCCCUUUUGUUGGGAAAGAAAAGCAGCAGGUUAAGACGCCGCGGUUCUGACGGUACCCAAAGAAUAAGCACCGGCUAACUACGUG
rnacentral:rRNA from 1 species